UACAGAGGUCUCAAGCGUUGUUCGGAUUCAUUGGGCGUAAAGGGUGCGUAGGCGGCGCGGUAAGUCGGGUGUGAAAUCUCGGAGCUUAACUCCGAAACUGCAUUCGAUACUGCCGUGCUUGAGGACUGGAGAGGAGACUGGAAUUUACGGUGUAGCGGUGAAAUGCGUAGAUAUCAUUUGGAACGCCAAUGGUGAAAACAGGUAGCUGGGAGUGUGCUGACGCUGAGACACGAAAGCCAGGGGAGCAAACGGG
rnacentral:rRNA from 1 species